UUGAAUCUAUUGCUGAUAGGGAGU
rnacentral:piRNA from 2 species